rnacentral:misc_RNA from 1 species
AUGGCUGCGCGCUUUGAGAACGUUCCUGUGGUCGAAGUUUCAGCGGACAAUUUUGCCGUAUUAUGGCCUUUCAUGAUUCGCGCGAUAAACAAAUCCUCAUUCGUGGCACUGGACACGGAGAUGAGUGGAAUUGGAGAAAGAAAAAAUCUAAUGACUCAAUUUGUGGAGGAUCGGUAUAAAUACAUGUGUGAAGUGGCCCAAUCCAGAGCCAUUCUCUCUCUUGGUAUUUCUUGUUUCAAACUGAAGAAGAGAAAGAUGAGAAAUGAUACAGACUGCAAAGAAUCGGAUACAAAACUGAACAUCAGGAUCAAGACAUUCAACAUUGUUGUCCUCUGCACGGAAAACUUUGUAGUAGAACCAGUGUCUCUGACAUUUUUGGUCGGACAUGGCUUUGACUUUAACAAACAGUAUGCUAAAGGUGUUCCAUAUUCGAGAGGAGAUGACAAGGUAAUUUCUGGUACACCGCAGUACUCUGUGAGAAAUCUCUUCAAUCAACUCAUUCUUGCCAAUAAACCUGUUGUUGUUCACAAUGGGUUUUUGGACUUGGUGUUCCUAUAUCAGAACUUUUAUUGCAAGUUACCCGACAAACUGCAAGUGUUUACUGCAGAUUUAACAGAAAUGUUUCCAGCUGGUGUAUUUGAUACCAAGUUUGUGUCAGAGUACAGUGUGAGAGAACCUGCUUCAUUCUUGCUCUAUGUUUUCAAAAAGUGUCAAAGGACCAAUAUACAACAUGAAAACCAAGGAAGAAAGCAUGUUUGUCUGAAAUUUCGCGAGGAAGUUUCGUUAUCAUGUUUCACUGAGCACAUCUAUUGUGGAGCACGUGAUGAAAACGAAGCUGUUGAUACUGACGUCAUAGUGUGUGAGAAAUUUGCGGCUUAUGGAUUUUGUCCACGGGAAAAAUCUUGUCAAUUUUCACACGACGUCGAUGAUGUUUUAGAUCGGGAGUGGAAAGUGAAAGAAACCAAGAGGCUGAAGCGAAAACGAAAGCGUCACAACUCCGGCAAUAAUGAACACGAUGUAACUAAAACACGCGGUACUGAAAAUUCGCCCCCAACAGACACUUCCGAGGAAGUGUGUGCACGUGAUAAGCAAGACACUCACAUGACGUAUCCACGUGAUGCUCACGUGAGUCAGUCCAACGGUGUCAAGACACGUGACUGUGGUCACAGAGCGGGUUUCGAUGCGUUUAUGACCGGCUAUUGUAUGGCGACUUAUCUUCUUCAGCUUGGCAAGGAAAGUGUUGAUAACGAACUCACCCUCUCCUCCCUGGUGGAUGUUUCGAACAAGCUAAGCCUUCCAAGGAAAGACGUUCCAUUACAAAUAACACGAAGUCAUUUUAUCCGACCGUCAACCACGCACACUGAGAAACUUAAGCGACUGAAAAAUCAGCUUCAGUCGCCGGAACAGUCAUAAUGGAAUAUUUAGCUGGGCUAAAACUCUUUGUAACAUUUCAUUGUCAUUAAUUUUUGAAGUACCCCAUCCUAAAACUUCUCUUUUAUUUAUUUUUAUUUUUUAUCGCAUCCUUGCUUCAUUUGCCGUUUUGCAUUGCCUUCGUCUUUCUUGUCCAAAAUUUAAAUGAUUUUGUAUUCUUGAAAAGUGAAUUUUAUACAUGUUAUCUUUGGUUGUUUUCCCCUUUUGCAAAGUAUUAUUUUUCUUUCGUUUCCUCUUCCUUUUUUUUGAUAGGGGCAAAGGUAACCUCAUUCCCGAGAUAUGUUGAUUUUCUCCGUUCCUACAUUGUUGUUUCAGAGGAAACUGUCUUUUUUCGGGGCGAACCGGGUUUGUCGAAGGAUCGAAGCAGUGUGCACAU